CCUACGGGAGGCUGCAGUGGGGAAUAUUGCGCAAUGGGCGAAAGCCUGACGCAGCGACGCCGCGUGAGGGAUGAAGGUCUUCGGAUCGUAAACCUCUGUCAGCAGGGAAGAACGGUCACUGUGCUAAUCAGCAGUGCAUUGACGGUACCUGCAAAGGAAGCACCGGCUAACUCCGUGCCAGCAGCCGCGGUAAUACGGAGGGGGCGAGCGUUAAUCGGAAUUACUGGGCGUAAAGCGCUCGUAGGCGGUAUGUCAAGUCAAGGGUGAAAUCCCCGCGCUGAACGUGGGAACUGCCUUGGAAAGUGGGAAACUGGAGUGUGUGAGAGGAUAGUGGAAUUCCAGGUGUAGGGGUGAAAUCCGUAGAUAUCUGGAGGAACAUCAGUGGCGAAGGCGACUAUCUGGCACAUAACUGACGCUGAGGAUCGAAAGCGUGGGUAGCGAACAGGAUUAGAUACCCCAGUAGUC
rnacentral:rRNA from 1 species